AACUGCUUUUUGCACUACCACG
rnacentral:miRNA from 1 species